rnacentral:rRNA from 1 species
AUGAGUCGAGUGAACAAGGCCUCCUCUCUAAAAGUAGUUCCGGAGGAGAAGGCUCAGGUGAAAAUGUUGGUGGAGCGAGUAGUUCAGUUGAUUCGUGACGGCGUGACCGGCAUGGACCUUCUGGAGGUUUUCCUUCAGCGGUGCAUCCAACCACUCCAGUACCGGGGCCACUCGAUGUGGCUGUAUUCUGGUACUGAAGACACCAGUCGGGUCCGCCUAGAGGAGGUCGACGAUGCUACAUUGGAGAGGUGGAUGACUACCAUCACGGGGAACAAGGACAACCCUCGUGGAGCUAGGAGGAUCGUUCCACUCGACCAAUCUUAUGAGGUGGAUAAGGUACAACUAUUUUCCUCCGACUGCUCCAUCUAUUCUGUUUCGUCGUAA